rnacentral:rRNA from 1 species
CCUACGGGUGGCAGCAGUCGAGAAUCAUUCACAAUGGGGGAAACCCUGAUGGUGCGACGCCGCGUGGGGGAAUGAAGGUCUUCGGAUUGUAAACCCCUGUCAUGUGGGAGCAAAUUAAAAAGAUAGUACCACAAGAGGAAGAUACGGCUAACUCUGUGCCAGCAGCCGCGGUAAUACAGAGGUCUCAAGCGUUGUUCGGAAUCACUGGGCGUAAAGCGUGCGUAGGCUGUUUCGUAAGUCGUCUGUUAAAGGCGCGGGCGCAACCCGCGGACGGCACAUGAUACUGCGAGACUAGAGUAAUGGAGGGGGAACCGGAAUUCUCGGUGUAGCAGUGAAAUGCGUAGAUAUCGGGAGGAACACUAGUGGCGAAGGCGGGUGCCUGGACAUUAACUGACGCUGAGGCACGAAGGCCAGGGGAGCGAAAGGGAUUAGAUACCCUUGUAGUC